GGUUCUGGUAGCUCAGCUGGUUAGAGCAAAGGACUGCAAAUCCUUUUUUGCUUGUUUCAGUGGGAAGAGCAAGGGGCAU
rnacentral:tRNA from 1 species